GUAUCAUUGCUCAGAUUGAACGCUGGCGGCAGGCCUAACACAUGCAAGUCGAACGGUAACAGAAAGCAGCUUGCUGCUUUGCUGACGAGUGGCGGACGGGUGAGUAAUGUCUGGGAAACUGCCCGAUGGAGGGGGAUAACUACUGGAAACGGUAGCUAAUACCGCAUAACGUCGCAAGACCAAAGAGGGGGACCUUCGGGCCUCUUGCCAUCGGAUGUGCCCAGAUGGGAUUAGCUAGUAGGG
rnacentral:rRNA from 1 species